GAUGAACGCUAGCGGGAGGCCUAAUACAUGCAAGUCGAACGGUAAAUGGUAGCAAUACUAUGAGAGUGGCGUACGGGUGCGUAACGCGUACACAACCUGCCUUGUACUGGGGGAUAGCCUCGGGAAACUGAGAUUAAUACCCCAUAAUUUUACGAUGUGGCAUCACAUUGUAAUUAAAGCUCCGGCGGUACAAGAUGGGUGUGCGUCCGAUUAGGUAGUUGGUGAGGUAACGGCUCACCAAGCCGACGAUCGGUAGCUGGUCUGAGAGGACGAUCAGCCACACGGGCACUGAGACACGGGCCCGAAUCCUACGGGAGGCAGCAGUAGGGAAUAUUGGACAAUGGACGCAAGUCUGAUCCAGCCAUCCCGCGUGAAGGAUUAAGGCCCUCUGGGUUGUAAACUUCUUUUCUUUGGGAAUAAAAAGCGGUAUUCAUAUCGCCUUGAAGGUACCAGGGGAAUAAGCACCGGCUAACUCCGUGCCAGCCGCCGCCGUAA
rnacentral:rRNA from 1 species